rnacentral:rRNA from 1 species
CCCUUAGAUGUUCUGGGCCGCACGCGCGCUACACUGAUGAAUUCAACGAGCACUAACCUGUGCAGAAAUGUUCGGGUAAUCUUGUGAAAUUUCAUCGUGAUGGGGAUUGAUUAUUGCAAUUAUUAAUCUUCAACGAGGAAUGCCUAGUAGGCGCAAGUCAUCAGCUUGCGUCGAUUACGUCCCUGCCCUUUGUACACACCGCCCGUCGCUCCUACCGAUUGGGUGUGCUGGUGAAAUGUUCGGAUCGGCCGUUUGUCGCGGUUUCCGCGUCAUGUGGCUGAGAAGUUCAUUAAACCCUCCCACCUAGAGGAAGGAGAAGUCGUAACA